GUACCAGCACUUUCUUUGUUACAUGUAUUGAAGUCAUUUGGAAUCAUAGGAAAUCUGGCGGUUAAUGAUGUGUCAUUUUGAUGUAUGUUUCAGGUUAUGGGGGCUUUGGUGGUGGUGGAGCUGGACUUCCAGGAGGAAAAGGUGGCCCCGGGUCUCAGCCUGGAUAUCCUGUAGGAACUGGUGAGUGUUUUUACAAAUGUGCUCGUAAAUGCAGGUACUUUACAUCAUGAAAUGAUGUGUGGUAGAGAGGUAGAAACAAUGCUUCUUUAUUUCCCUCUGCAGGAGUCGGGCCAGGGGGCAUCUCACCUGCUCAAGCUAAAGCUGCCAAAUAUGGUAAUCUACCAGGACACAGAGCACAGGACACAGAGCAUAUAGUGCAGGUAUACUUACUGUGUGUUCAAUCUCUGCUCUCUGCUGCAGGUUUGGGAGGUUUGGGAGGUUUGGGAGGUGUUGGCGGUGUUGGCGGUGUUGGAGGUGUUGGCGGUGUUGGGGGCACAGGUGGACUGUAUCCAGGGCAGGUGCCAGGAGCUGGAUAUGGAGCUGGGGCCAAGGCUGCAAAAUAUGGAUAUCCAGGAGGAGUCCCAGGAGGAGUACCAGGUGGAGUGCCAGGUGGAGUUCCAGGAGGAGUCCCAGGAGGUGUACCUGGAGGAGUCCCAGGAGGUGCACCCCUUGGAGUACCAGGAGGAGUUCCACAAAUACCAGGGACUGGAUACUCUGCCGCUGCAAAAGCUGCUAAAUAUGGUAUGUAGGGAUUGUUUUCGUUAGUUUGGGUCAGUCUGGACUCAAGGCAGCAGGAGUUUAUUUUACAUGCUUUGAAACACCUAGCAUCUUACUGCCAUUGACAGUGCACAGACUUGCUCCCUACUAUGUGUGAAUAAAUAUGUCUUCCACAGGAGUAGGGGGAUUGGGAGGAACAGGAGGACUGGGAGGAGUAGGAGGACUAGGAGGAACUGGAGGGCUGGGAGGUGGAGGAUACCCUGCUGCUGCUGCUGCUGCUGCUGCUAAAGCAGCAAAAUAUGUUCAAGCUGGUCCAGGAGUAGUUCCAGGUGGUGGAGGUGGUGGAGCAGGACUCCCUGGGUUUUUACCAGGAUAUGGAUCUUUAGCAGCUGGUGCCAAACCUCCGAAAUAUGGAGUUCCAGGAGCAGCCCAACAAGGAGGAGGAGUCUCAGGAGGAGUUGGACACGUACUACCUGGUGGUGGCUUUGGUGGUUAUGGAGGUGGUGCUGGAGUCAAACCCCCUAAGUAUGGAGUUGCAGGAGCAGGGUUUGGAAUCGGAGGAGUAGGAGGUGUACCAGGAGGUGUACCAGGAGGAGUACCAGGAGGAGGACAGUACUCUGCUGCUGCAAAAGCUGCUAAAUAUGGAAUUGCAGGCGGUGCAGGAACAGGGCUAGGAACAGGAGGAGUACCAGGAGGAGUACCAGGAGGAGUACCAUACUCUGCUGCUGCAAAAGCUGCUAAAUACGGAGUACCAGGAGGAGUACCUGGAGGAGUGCCGGGAGGAGUACCAGGAGGAGUACCAGGAGGAGUACCGUACUCUGCUGCUGCAAAAGCUGCUAAAUACGGAGUACCAGGAGGGGUACCAGGAGGAGUACCAGGAGGAGUACCAGGAGGAGUGCCGGGAGGAGUACCAGGAGGGUUACCGUACUCUGCUGCUGCAAAAGCUGCCAAAUACGGUUUGUAG
ensembl:lncRNA